UGCGGCCGUGGCCACGGGCGGUCCUGGAGCGGGAUCGCGUGUGCGCUGCCUCCAACCUGCUUUGCUGCUCCUGCGAUCUCAAGACGUGUGCAGAUCUGAGGACGAAGGGAAGAAUAAGAAGAAUUUAGCUAGAGAUUUGAAGAAGAUCAAGAAGGCCAAAAAAGGUGGAGACGAGUCAUGGAUCCUGCUGGCAAUGGCUACUGGUUGUAGAUGGAAUUUAAG